rnacentral:rRNA from 1 species
AGAAUCAACGCUGGCGGCGUGCCUAACACAUGCAAGUCGCACGGGAAAGGGACUUCGGUCCUGAGUACAGUGGCGCACGGGUGAGUAACACGUGAAUAAUCUACCUCCGAGUGGGGAAUAACUGAGAGAAAUCUUAGCUAAUACCGCAUAACACUUACGAGUCAAAGCAGCAAUGCGCUUGGAGAGGAGUUCGCGGCAGAUUAGUUAGUUGGCGGGGUAAUGGCCCACCAAGACGAUGAUCUGUA